UACGUAGGCAGCGAGCGUUGUUCGGAGUUACUGGGCGUAAAGAGUAUGUAGGCGGUUGGGCAAGUUUGGUGUGAAAUCUCCCGGCUUAACUGGGAGGGUGCGCUAAAUACUGCCUGGCUAGAGUGCGGGAGAGGGGAGCGGAAUUCCUGGUGUAGCGGUGAAAUGCGUAGAUAUCAGGAGGAACACCUGCGGUGUAGACGGCUCCCUGGACCGUGACUGACGCUGAGAUACGAAAGCGUGGGUAGCAAACAGG
rnacentral:rRNA from 1 species